GGGUUGUGAGGUUAAGCGACUAAGCGUACACGGUGGAUGCCCUGGCAGUCAGAGGCGAUGAAGGGCGUGCUAAUCUGCGAUAAGCGCCGGUAAGGUGAUAUGAACCGUUAUAACCGGCGAUACCCGAAUGGGGAAACCC
rnacentral:rRNA from 4 species